rnacentral:rRNA from 1 species
AACGAACGCUGGCGGCGUGCUUAACACAUGCAAGUCGAACGCGAAAGGGACUUCGGUCCUGAGUAGAGUGGCGCACGGGUGAGUAACGCGUAAGUGAUCUACCCCUGUAUUUGGGAUAACUAUGGGAAACUGUAGCUAAUACCGGAUACGUUCAUGUAGUUGCGAUUAUGUGAAGAAAGAUGGCCUCUGAUUCAAGCUAUUGUACAGGGAGGAGCUUGCGUACCAUUAGCUAGUUGGUAGGGUAAUGGCCUACCAAGGCAACGAUGGUUAGCGGGUCUGAGAGGAUGAUCCGCCACACUGGAACUGAAACACGGACCAGACUCCUACGGGAGGCAGCAGUGAGGAAUAUUGCGCAAUGGGGGCAACCCUGACGCAGCGACGCCGCGUGGAUGAUGAAGGCCUUCGGGUCGUAAAAUCCUGUCAGAUGGGAAGAAGUGCGAGGUGGUUAAUACCCAUUUUGUUUGACGGUACCAUCAGAGGAAGCACCGGCUAACUCCGUGCCAGCAGCCGCCGUAACAC